AAAACGGCCCUUUUCAGGGCCAACAAUACUGAAUCCAACCUUUUUU
rnacentral:ncRNA from 1 species